rnacentral:rRNA from 1 species
UGGCGGCGUGCUUAAAACAUGCAACUCGAGCGUUCCGGCAGCCAACUUAAGUUGGGAGCCGGAUAGCGGCGGACGGGUGAGUAACGCGUGGGCAACUUACCCUUAAGACCGGGAUAACACNUCGAAAGGGGUGCUAAUACUGGAUAAGCUCCUUGUAGGGCAUCCUAUGAGGAGGGAAGGUAGCGGGAGCUACCGCUUAAGGAUGGGCCCGCGUCCCAUCAGCCAGUUGGUAGGGUAACGGCCUACCAAGGCGACGACGGGUAGCCGGCCUGAGAGGGUGGUCGGCCACACUGGGACUGAGACACGGCCCAGACUCCUACGGGAGGCAGCAGUGGGGAAUCUUGCGCAAUGGGCGAAAGCCUGACGCAGCGACGCCGCGUGAGCGAGGAAGGCCUUCGGGUCGUAAAGCUCGAUAGUGUGGGAAGAAGGGAUGACGGUACCACACGAAAGCCCCGGCUAA